UACGGAGGGCGCAAGCGGUGUUCGGAAUCAUUGGGCGUAAAGCGCGUGUAGGCGGCUUGGCAAGUCGGGUGUGAAAUCCCGGGGCCCAACACCGGAACUGCAUUCGAAACUGCCUCGCUAGAGUCCCGGAGAGGAAGGCGGAGUUCCCGGUGUAGAGGUGAAAUUCGUAGAUAUCGGGAGGAACACCAGCGGCGAAGGCGGCCUUCUGGACGGUGACUGACGCUGAGACGCGACAGCGUGGGGAGCAAACAGG
rnacentral:rRNA from 1 species